CCUACGGGAGGCAGCAGUGGGGGAUAUUGCACAAUGGGGGCAACCCUGAUGCAGCGACGCCGCGUGAGCGAUGGAGUACUUCGGUAUGUAAAGCUCUGUCAGCAGGGAAGAGAAUGACGGUACCUGACCAAGAAGCCCCGGCUAACUACGUGCCAGCAGCCGCGGUAAGACGUAGGGGGCGAGCGUUAUCCGGAUUCACUGGGUGUAAAGGGAGCGUAGACGGCCAUGCAAGCCAGGGGUGAAAGCCCGGGGCCCAACCCCGGGACUGCCCUUGGAACUGCAUGGCUGGAGUGCGGGAGGGGCAGGCGGAAUGCCUGGUGUAGCGGUGAAAUGCGUAGAUAUCAGGAGGAACACCGGCGGCGAAGGCGGCCUGCUGGACCGCGACUGACGUUGAGGCUCGAAAGCGUGGGGAGCGAACAGGAUUAGAUACCCGUGUAGUC
rnacentral:rRNA from 1 species